AGGGGGGCCAGAGGGAGAGACAGAGACAGAAAAGAAAGACAAGAUCAGAGAUGGAAAGCAGGACAUUCUCCUCUACUUUGACAGAUUUAACUGGAGAGUUUUUAGAUAUGUUAAAUUGAAGAUCACUCCAGAUUCAGAAUCAUAAGGCUAAGCUGCUGUCCUAAAUUCUGGAAAUGAAAGGGAUAUACUCAGUAAUAAAAGAUGAAGACGAAGGUGAAAUUAACUAUUUUAAAUAAUUACA